rnacentral:rRNA from 1 species
UACGUAGGGCGCGAGCGUUGUCCGGAUUUAUUGGGCGUAAAGAGCUCGUAAGCGGUUUGUCGCGUCGUCCGUGAAAACUCACAGCUUAACUGUGAGCUUGCGGUCGAUACGGGCAGGCUAGAGUUCGGUAGGGGAGACUGGAAUUCCUGGUGUAGCGGUGAAAUGCGCAGAUAUCAGGAGGAACACCGGUGGCGAAGGCGGGUCUCUGGGCCGAUACUGACGCUGAGGAGCGAAAGCGUGGGGAGCGAACAGG